AGUGAACGCUGGCGGUAGGCCUAACACAUGCGAGUCGAACGGCAGCACAGUAAGAGCUUGCUCUUACGGGUGGCGAGUGGCGGACGGGUGAGGAAUACAUCGGAAUCUACUUUUUCGUGGGGGAUAAUGUAGGGAAACUUACGCUAAUACCGCAUACGACCUACGGGUGAAAGCAGGGGAUCUUCGGACCUUGCGCGAUUGAAUGAGCCGAUGUCGGAUUAGCUAGUUGGCGGGGUAAAGGCCCACCAAGGCGACGAUCCGUAGCUGGUCUGAGAGGAUGAUCAGCCACACUGGAACUGAGACACGGUCCAGACUCCUACGGGAGGCGGCAGUGGGGAAUAUUGGACAAUGGGCGCAAGCCUGAUCCAGCCAUACCGCGUGGGUGAAGAAGGCCUUCGGGUUGUAAAGCCCUUUUGUUGGGAAAGAAAAGCAGCAGGUUAAUACCCCGCUGUUCUGACGGUACCCAAAGAAUAAGCACCGGCUAACUUCG
rnacentral:rRNA from 1 species